rnacentral:piRNA from 1 species
UAAAAAUUUCAAAAGGUAGCCUAUCAAAACC